rnacentral:misc_RNA from 1 species
GAUGAAGAACGUAGCGAAAGGCGAUAAGUAAUGUGAAUUCCAGAAUUCAGUGAAUCAUCGAAUCUUUGAACGCACAUUGCGCCCGCCAGUAUUCUGGCGGGCAUGCCUGUUCGAGCGUCAUUACAACCCUCAGGCCCCCGGGCCUGGCGUUGGGGAUCGGCGGAGCCCCCCGUGGGCACACGCCGUCCCCCAAAUACAGUGGCGGUCCCGCCGCAGCUUCCAUCGCGUAGUAGCUAACACCUCGCGACUGGAGAGCGGCGCGGCCACGCCGUAAAACACCCAACUCUUCUGAAGUUGACCUCGAAUCAGGUAGGAAUACCCGCUGAACUUAAGCAUAUCAAUAAGCGGAGGA